GACGAACGCUGGCGGCGUGCCUAAUGCAUGCAAGUCGCACGGGUCUCCCUCGGGCGGUCAGUGGCGAACGGCUGAGGCACACGUGGGGGCCUUUCCUUCAGUGGGGGACAACACCGCGAAAGCGGUGCUAAUCCUGCAUACGCUCUGCGGAGGAAAGCGUGGCAACACGCGAGGAAGACUGGCCCUGCGGCCCAUCAGGUAGUUGGCGGGGUAACGGCCCACCAAGCCGGCGAGUGGUCGCUGGUGUGUGAGGACGACCAGCCAGACUGGGACUGAGAUACGGCCCAGACUCCUACGGGAGGCAGCAGUAAGGAAUUUUCGGCAAUGGGCGCAAGCCUGACCGAGCAACGCCGCGUGCGGGAUGACGGCCUUCGGGUUGUAAACCGCUUUUGGGGGGGAAGAAACAGACGGUACCCGCCGAAGCAGCCCCGGCUAACUCCGUG
rnacentral:rRNA from 1 species